UACAGAGGUCUCAAGCGUUGUUCGGAUUCAUUGGGCGUAAAGGGUGCGUAGGUGGCGAGGUAAGUCUGGUGUGAAAUCCCCGGGCUCAACCUGGGAAUUGCAUUCGAUACUGGAUGGCUAGAGUUCGGCAGAGGGAAGCGGAAUUUCCGGUGUAGCGGUGAAAUGCGUAGAUAUCGGAAGGAACAUCAGUGGCGAAAACGGCUUCCUGGACCAGAACUGACGAUCAGGCACGAAAGCGUGGGGAGCAAACAGG
rnacentral:rRNA from 1 species